rnacentral:rRNA from 1 species
UACGUAGGGGGCUAGCGUUGUCUGGAAUCAUUGGGCGUAAAGCGCGCGUAGGUGGCCACAUAAGUCCGUUGUGAAAGUCAAAGGCUCAACCUUUGAAAGCCGAUGGAUACUGUGUGGCUAGAGUACGGAAGAGGCGAGUGGAAUUCCUGGUGUAGCGGUGGAAUGCGCAGAUAUCAGGAGGAACACCAAUAGCGAAGGCAGCUCGCUGGGACGUUACUGACACUGAGGCGCGAAAGCGUGGGGAGCGAACAGG